ACCUGAUGAUGUGGAAAUUUACAAAGUAGGUCCAUAAAGCGCUCCUAAGUUUCUAAAAAGAGUUUUCCAUCCAUCUGUGAAAAACUCAUAAUGGCUCUCCGAAGCU